rnacentral:rRNA from 1 species
GGGCCCGCACAAGCGGAGGAACAUGUGGUUUAAUUCGAUGAUACGCGAGGAACCUUACCCGGGCUCGAACGGUGCAGGAAUACUACAGAGAUGUGGUAGCUAGCAAUAGUCUGUAUCGAGGUGCUGCAUGGUUGUCGUCAGCUCGUGCCGUGAGGUGUCGGCUUAAGUGCCAUAACGAGCGCAACCCUUGUCGUUAGUUGCCAUCAGGUCAAGCUGGGAACUCUAACGAGACUGCCACCGUAAGGUGUGAGGAAGGGGGGGAUGACGUCAAAUCAGCACGGCCCUUACGUCCGGGGCGACACACGUGUUACAAUGGCAGGUACAGAGGGGAGCUACCCAGCGAUGGGGUGCGAAUCUCAAAAGCCUGUCUCAGUUCGGAUUGGAGUCUGCAACUCGACUCCAUGAAGUUGGAUUCGCUAGUAAUCGCGCAUCAGCCAUGGCGCGGUGAAUACGUUCCCGGGCCUU